UGCCGAACGACUGGCCAUGAAANUGGAUGGCGCUCAAGCCANCCCCCGAUACUCGACCGUUAGAGCAAUGAGGUGUCUUCAGAUCUUCUGCAUUGCCCUGCAUCAUUGGUUUGCGCCCUUGGUGUGGUAUAGCUAGCUUUGCAGAAUGUGGGAGCGAAUCUUAAUGUACUANAUGGUGCAUAUGUAGUAGCUUUCCGUGUAUUUGGACCCUAUUAAGCUUUAACGAGUAGGAGGGCGCAGCGGUGUGCGUGGAAGGUUUUGGCGUGAGCCUGACUGGAGCCGCCGUUGGUGAAGAUCUUGGUGGUAGUAGCAUCAGCUUCGGCUGAGGUAAAUUUUCUAGGACCUUACGGAAAGGGUUUCGCGUUAACCGCGAUGGGACGCGAGUAAAUCGAUCCUAAGCCAGGGGUUAACCUCCUUUUUAAGGGAUGGUCGAUUCGAAAAAGGAACUGUUGCUGUAGGCACUUGCACCCCAUUGUAACGAUGGCUGUGUGCUCGUGUCGGAUCUACUUUCUAUUUUCAAACGGACCAAUUUGCAACGCGAAAGGGGAUCCAUACAGGUU
rnacentral:rRNA from 1 species